GACGAACGCUGGCGGCGUGCUUAACACAUGCAAGUCGAACGGAAAGGCCCUGCUUUUGUGGGGGGCUCGAGUGGCGAACGGGUGAGUAACACGUGAGUAACCUGCCCUUGACUUUGGGAUAACUUCAGGAAACUGGGGCUAAUACCGGAUAGGAGCUCCUGCUGCAUGGUGGGGGUUGGAAAGUUUCGGCGGUUGGGGAUGGACUCGCGGCUUAUCAGCUUGUUGGUGGGGUAGUGGCUUACCAAGGCUUUGACGGGUAGCCGGCCUGAGAGGGUGACCGGCCACAUUGGGACUGAGAUACGGCCCAGACUCCUACGGGAGGCAGCAGUGGGGAAUAUUGCACAAUGGGCGGAAGCCUGAUGCAGCAACGCCGCGUGCGGGAUGACGGCCUUCGGGUUGUAAACCGCUUUCGCCUGUGACGAAGCGUGAGUGACGGUAAUGGGUAAAGAAGCACCGGCGAACUACG
rnacentral:rRNA from 1 species